rnacentral:lncRNA from 10 species
GACGCCUGAGAAGUGGAAGGACCCGGCGUCCAGGACAGGAAAGUGCGUGAUUUACAGCUAGAGGGAUAGGCGCUGUCCCGGAGCCCGUCCUGGGCCAGGGAGCAGGAGAGGGAGGGACUACAGUUCCCGACGCGCUGCGGGGCGGGCGGAGAUCGUGCGCUUCGGCGCCAGUUGCACGGCCUUAGCAGCCAGUGGCGGCUCCCCUGCUCCUGUAACAGUCCCCUUGUCUUCUGACCUUUCGCUCCUCGGUCAUGUGUCCUCGCCGGUCGCCGCGGCAGCCAGUGAUGCCCGAGCGGCGGGUUCCCAGGCCCAGGUGUGGGCGCCACCGCCCACCAUGCGCCAAGCCCAGAGCCUGGUUGAAUCGUUCGCCACCUUGUCUACCCAUUUUGGCCAUUAUCCUGCCACCUCCAAAUCCUGUUUUUGACACUUCUCGGGAGAGAGAGAAAACGGAAAGAUAAAGGAAUAAACUCCUCGUGGUCGUAGUUAGUGGGUAAAUUCAGAUCUCGUUUGAACCGAGGUUUUUCUUAUCUCCAGCCACCGUAUCCACCACCACCAGAAUCGUCUUUUUAGUCAUCACAGCUGGUCGCCGUCAGUACCUUGUUCAGAAGCCUCUCGCAGCUUCCAUCGUGUGGUUAUACAAUCCAAAUUCCUUAUAAAGUCCAAAUUCAAGAGGAGGAAUGCACGUUUAGUUAAGUUAAUGUCUAGACCUUACCAGCCAAUUUCUAGCUCCUCAGUAUGGAAAUUGCAACUGAAAACACCCCUUCCAAAAAAAGCAGUCUGCAUUUUUCUCUGAGUUUUCUUCUCCAAAUUUCGCACCCCUGACCUUGCUUACACACUCUGGAUACCACCUGCUGUGGAGUGGCGGAAGCAGACAUCCAGCGAUAGCUAAGUUUCCUGUCGUUGACACCCAAGCAAGACAGGCGUGUACCUAACUGAGGACCUGCCGGUGAUAGAAGUCUCAGCUUUUCUCAGAGACAGAUGAGUCUUCCCUUUAAAUGCUGCAAAGUGCUGCAUAGUAGAUGUUAAAUGAAAGUCAGAAAGAAUCAAAUGUGCUGCAAAUAAUUGAAGGAAAGGAACGCAAGCUCACUGCAAGCACACUGGAAAGGCAUGGACAAGGACGGAAACACAGUUGCUCCCGAUCUCAGGACAGAGAAGCCCCCUCUCAUAGCAUCCAAGCUCCAGGACAGACCUGCCCGCCUCAGCUCCUGAAACCCGGCCUGGGGUGCUCUCCAGCCAGCUCUUUUCUGACAGUGCUGAAAGGAGACAUCAUGAUGCAGGGAUGGCAAGAAUGAAAUCACAUCUUUUAAGGGAAUGAGAGAGACUGGUUUGCGGAUCAAGAGGAAACAGCAUGAAAGAGCUCUGAGGGCUUCAUCCUGGGUAGGAAGCCACUUUGCCCACUGAAUAUUUUCUUCUCACACAAAGGACUUGCAUGAGGGAACCGAGAAAGGAAACUGGGAACACACAGCCACAAGAGGCAGUGACUCCUAACUGUCCUCAGGUUCAAUGCCACACCCAUCGAACUAAGAAUGUGCCAGCGCCAUCAUCAGAAAAAUGUUAGGAAUUACAUCUCAUAAACUAAAAAAGAGCUAGAAAACCGUGACACCAUCAGAGCAUCUUCCUGACACCUGCACCCAGGCCAGGAAAUGGCCUGCCAAGGUGCCCUCCAUCUCUGUGUCCUCCACUGGGUCCCCUAGACUCACAGGGUCACUGUGGCUUCCAUUCCCAUGAGAUGCACUGCCUGUGCCUUGCCCUCCAUCCACAGCAUUCACUAUGUUGAAGGGAAUGAGGGAAUGCCUGUUAUCCCUGUCACAGACACCACGUGGGGCCCAUGGGCCAGGCACCACAAGCCUGUGCACCCUGCCAUACCCGAUCAAGGGCCUCCCUGGACAUUAACAAUGGCUAUGAAGAGGGAUGACAAACAAAUGUGUCCCAAGAAGGGGUGAACGUUAAGAUAGGCUGUGCAGGAAGUCAACAGUGAAAGGUUAUGGUGACAGCAGGGCAAGGAGGCCUUCAGUGUGGCAGGAAUGAGGGCUGUUAGGACAGGGCCCGUGAAGACACUGGAGGAGGCAGUGGCAGGUCCUGGAGGGUCACGGAGGCCACACGACGGCAUUUGGGCACCAAGCAAAUGACAAUGGAGAGCCAUGGAAGGCUGGACUUGGAGAAGUGUCUAUACUGGAUGUGUCCUUGUGUUGGAGAUGAGAGCAGAAGUGGAAUCUGCAGAAGCCUGAGUGGUCACAGGAUCCUGCCCCAUCAGUGAUGCUGGACAAGGCUCAGUUGCAGCUCAGGUGGGACUCAGCAGGCCAGAGACAUGCACAG